UACGAAGGGGGCUAGCGUUGUUCGGAAUUACUGGGCGUAAAGCGCACGUAGGCGGAUCCUUAAGUCGGAGGUGAAAUCCCGGAGCUCAACUCCGGAACUGCCUUCGAUACUGGGGAUCUUGAGGUCGAGAGAGGUGAGUGGAAUUCCGAGUGUAGAGGUGAAAUUCGUAGAUAUUCGGAGGAACACCAGUGGCGAAGGCGGCUCACUGGCUCGAUACUGACGCUGAGGUGCGAAAGUGUGGGGAGCAAACAGG
rnacentral:rRNA from 1 species